ACGGCGAGUGAAGCGGCAACAGCUCAAAUUUGAAAUCUGGCGUCUUCGGCGUCCGAGUUGUAAUUUGCAGAGGGUGCCUCGGGUGGAGCACCGGUCCAAGUCCCUUGGAACAGGAUACCGCAGAGGGUGAGAGUCCCGUAUCCGGCCGGUCGUGUCCCCCGCUGUGAGGCCCCUUCGACGAGUCGAGUUGUUUGGGAAUGCAGCUCUAAAUGGGUGGUAAAUUCCAUCUAAAGCUAAAUACUGGCCAGAGACCGAUAGCGCACAAGUAGAGUGAUCGAAAGAUGAAAAGCACUUUGAAAAGAGAGUCAAACAGUACGUGAAAUUGUUGAAAGGGAAGCGUAUACGGCCAGACUUGGCCGCGGAUGCUCAGCCCGUCUUCUGGCGGGUGCACUCUUCCGCGGACAGGCCAGCAUCGGUUUGGGCGGCCGGACAACGGCGCUGGGAAUGUGGCACCCCUCGGGGUGUGUUAUAGCCCGGCGUGCAAUGCGGCCAGCCCGGACCGAGGACCGCGCAUUGCUAGGAUGCUGG
rnacentral:rRNA from 2 species